CAGUCGCCGCGGUAAUACGAGGGGGGCAAGCGUUGUUCGGAAUUAUUGGGCGUAAAGGGCGCGUAGGCGGUUUGACAAGUCUGAUGUGAAAUCUAUGGGCUCAACCCAUAGCCUGCAUUAGAAACUGUCGGGCUUGAGUAUGGGAGAGGUGAGUGGAAUUUCCGGUGUAGCGGUGAAAUGCGUAGAUAUCGGAAGGAACACCUGUGGCGAAAGCGGCUCACUGGACCAUAACUGACGCUGAGGCGCGAAAGCUAGGGGAGCAAACAGGAUUAGAUACCCCCGUAGUCCCUGUCUCUUAUAC
rnacentral:rRNA from 1 species